GAUGAACGCUGGCGGCGUGCUUAACACAUGCAAGUCGAACGAGACGAUUGAAAGCUUGCUUUUGAAAGUCGAGUGGCAAACGGGUGAGUAACGCGUAGACAACCUGCCUUUGAGAUGGGGACAACAGUUCGAAAGGACUGCUAAUACCGAAUGUUGUAUAUUUUCCACAUGGAAGAUAUAUUAAAGAUGGCCUCUAUUUAUAAGCUAUCGCUCAAAGAUGGGUCUGCGUCUGAUUAGCUGGUUGGUGGGGUAACGGCCUACCAAGGCGACGAUCAGUAGCCGGUCUGAGAGGAUGAACGGCCACAUUGGGACUGAGACACGGCCCAGACUCCUACGGGAGGCAGCAGUGGGGAAUCUUCCACAAUGGACGAAAGUCUGAUGGAGCAACGCCGCGUGAGUGAAGAAGGGUUUCGGCUCGUAAAGCUCUGUUGUCGGGGACGAAUGUGCAGUAUUUGAAUAAAGUACUGCAAUGACGGUACCUGACGGGGAAGCCACGGCUAACUACGUGCCAGCCGCCGCAGUAA
rnacentral:rRNA from 1 species